UUUUACGUGCCUAAACGCAACAACCAGCGCGUGAGUGUUCAAUAAAUCCGCCACUCUGACAGGACCCCGAACUCAUCACCACAUUAGCGUUAAUUCAGCGCGAACGACGCAGGCUCCUUCUAGUCGUCCUGGAUGCUGGGACCUACUGGAGUUCGUACAGCAAAUCCUGAACGGUGAACACCAACUCCUGAAAGAUCUCUGUGGAUGUAUUGCUUGGACUCCAGGUAGGCCAUGCCCUCGGAGACGUCUUUGCACAUCUCCAGCAGCUGCACGGACGUGGGGUGCUGCCUGAGGCCCUCCCUGAGGUAGAUGCCACCUGCCUCUCUGCAAACAGGAGAAGGAAGACAUGACACCCUCACAGAUGCAUGAGGACAUUGCUUUUAUCUGCAGAACAGAUAGCGCCAGUGGACACAGGAUGUACAGUAGACGGUAACGCAGAGUGUCAAACUCACCCGCCUCCUUUGCUGAACAGAGACACUGUGUACUUCCCUGGCUUGCUUGAGUCUCGCACCAAGAAGCCACCAUCUUUAUUCUGCACGGUCAGAAAGUGGCGUUAAAUCGAGCGGGACAAGGUCUGGUGCAUUGCAGGUUAGCACUACGGCUGCAAAAACCCACAACCACAGCGAUAAACACAUUAUUAAAGGGACCAAGUGUAUUUACCUCAGUUUUCAGUAGUUUCUCUGCUUGGCUACGGUUUGUGUUCUUACAAAACCAACUUUGAAAACAAACAAAGGUUUUGUGACACUUUUGUACAAUAAAAGGAAGUUAGUUUUUUUUUUUUCCAACAGCAUGUCAGUACUUACUCGUAUCUU